CGACUGCGACUGCGGCAGUUGCAGCUGGGAAAGAAAGGAAAGGAAAGGGGGAAAAAGGGGCUACGGACGGGAUUGCGGCCGCAGCGGCAGCGACUGCGUAUGCAGCAGUUAUGUCUGCGAGAGAAGGGAGGAAGGAAGGUAGUGCGGUGGAAGGGGCUGCGAUUGUAGCAGCGGCAACGGCGGCGGCUGUGGCAGCUGCGUUUGGGAAAGAAAAAGAAGGAAUGAGAGUAAGAGAGAGCAGGUGACUGUGCCUCGAUGUUCAACACGUGGUGUAGUUGCGAAGAAAGGAAGAAAACGGGAGCACAAAACGAAACAGAGAGAGGACACGGAGGAAAAGUAGAAGGAUUUGGGCUGGCACCUUCCUUGGAUCUUCGGAUCGAAAUCUUUGAAAGGUCAGCUUGUCACUCUUCGAGAUGUUUGAUUUGGGCUGAGGCAGUGGAUAGCUAUUCAGAAUAAUGGGCAAGUCUGGUUGGUUAUUACGAUAUUGUUGUAUAAGUAUGUCUUGUAUGUAAUGAAAUGUUGUCGAUGAACCGAAAUGGAUAUACUGUGUCAAAGUGUUAGGAGAUCUCUCUUAUUUGGAAUUUCAGAAUGUUAAGUCUAAUUUAUGGUGAUAUGAACUUGUGGUGAAUAGUUGGAGUUCUGAUUGUAUAAUUUAUUUA